UUAAGCAUAUCAAUAAGCGGAGGAAAAGAAACCAACAGGGAUUGCCCUAGUAACGGCGAGUGAAGCGGCAACAGCUCAAAUUUGAAAUCUGGCCUCGGCCCGAGUUGUAAUUUGCAGAGGAAGCUUUAGGCGCGGCACCAACUGAGUCCCCUGGAACGGGGCGCCAUAGAGGGUGAGAGCCCCGUAUAGUUGGACGCCUAGCCUGUGUAAAGCUCCUUCGACGAGUCGAGUAGUUUGGGAAUGCUGCUCAAAAUGGGAGGUAAAUUUCUUCUAAAGCUAAAUACCGGCCAGAGACCGAUAGCGCACAAGUAGAGUGAUCGAAAGAUGAAAAGCACUUUGAAAAGAGGGUUAAAUAGCACGUGAAAUUGUUGAAAGGGAAGCGCUUGUGACCAGACUUGCGCCGGGCGGAUCAUCCGGUGUUCUCACCGGUGCACUCCGCCCGGCUCAGGCCAGCAUCGGUUCUCGCGGGGGGAUAAAGGCCUCGGGAACGUAGCUCCUCCGGGAGUGUUAUAGCCCGGGGCGCAAUGCCCUCGCGGGGACCGAGGUUCGCGCAUCUGCAAGGAUGCUGGCGUAAUGGUCAUCAGCGACCCGUCUUGAAACACGGACCAAGGAGUCAAGGUUUUGCGCGAGUGUUUGGGUGUCAAACCCGCACGCGUAAUGAAAGUGAACGUAGGUGAGAGCUUCGGCGCAUCAUCGACCGAUCCUGAUGUUUUCGGAUGGAUUUGAGUAGGAGCGUUAAGCCUUGGACCCGAAAGAUGGUGAACUAUGCUUGGAUAGGGUGAAGCCAGAGGAAACUCUGGUGGAGGCUCGCAGCGGUUCUGACGUGCAAAUCGAUCGUCAAAUCUGAGCAUGGGGGGCGAAAGACUAAUCGAACCAUCUAGUAGCUGGUUACCGCCGAA
rnacentral:rRNA from 1 species